rnacentral:tRNA from 1 species
GGGCCGGUAGAUCAGCUGGAAGAUCGCCACCUUGGCAUGGUGGAGGUCUCGGGUUCAAAUUGCAACUUGCCUG